UGUAAUAUAAUCAAUGCGCUAGAGCAACGUAUGAACAUCGUCGCUACAAACCUUUCGUGCAACACAGGGUAGCGGAAAUAUUGGCUAUCACGAACCCUUCAGACUGGAGGUGGCUUCCAACUGCUCUAAAUGUCGCCGAUGAAGCCACGCGCUCAAACAACCGUCUCGAUUUCGGCCCAACCGCCCGUUGGUCAUGUGGACCAGCAUUUUUACAACAGCCGCAACACCUUUGGCCUAGUGACGACGCUGUGGUAACCAGCGAGGACGAACAUGAAGAGGAACUUCGCCCUAAAUAUGCUCUGGUAAUAGCCAAUUUUAAUAUUUUUGUAUUUAAGCGUUUUUCUUCGUACAACAAAGUGGUGAGAGUUGCAGCCUGGGUUUUGCGCUUCUUGGACGCCUGCCGCCGCCGUAUUCAGUGCGAUUGCUAUUAUGGGUUAACUGCUCGCGAAAUAGAACUUGCCAAAAAGCUGUUAUGUCGCUUCGUUCAACAUGAAGCAUUUGCCGAUGAACUCCAGCAGAUAAAGAAUGGUCAAAACAUCGCCCGUAGUAGUGCUCUUCUACAACUGUCGCCACAUAUCGAUGAAGAGGGUAUCCUA